rnacentral:tRNA from 1 species
UGGGGUGUAGCCAAGUGGCAAGGCACCGGUUUUUGAUACCGGCACUCGGUGGUUCGAAUCCAUCCACCCCAGC